rnacentral:rRNA from 1 species
ACGUAGGGACCAAGCGUUGUUCGGAUUUACUGGGCGUAAAGGGCGCGUAGGCGGCGUGGUAAGUCACUUGUGAAAUCUCCGAGCUUAACUCGGAACGGUCAAGUGAUACUGCUGUGCUAGAGUACAGAAGGGGCAAUCGGAAUUCUUGGUGUAGCGGUGAAAUGCGUAGAUAUCAAGAGGAACACCUGAGGUGAAGACGGGUUGCUGGGCUGAUACUGACGCUGAGGCGCGAAAGCUAGGGUAGCAAACGGGAUUAGAUACCCCGGUAGUCCUAGCCCUAAACGAUGUAUGCUUGGUGUCUGGAGUAUUAAUUCUCUGGGUGCCGUCGCUAACGCUUUUAGCAUACCGCCUGGGGAGUACGCACGCAAGUGUG